rnacentral:rRNA from 1 species
GACGAACGCUGGCGGCGUGCUUAACACAUGCAAGUCGAACGGAAAGGCCCUGCUUUUGUGGGGUGCUCGAGUGGCGAACGGGUGAGUAACACGUGAGUAGCCUGCCCUUGACUUUGGGAUAACUUCAGGAAACUGGGGCUAAUACCGGAUAGGAGCUCCUGCUGCAUGGUGGGGGUUGGAAAGUUUCGGCGGUUGGGGAUGGACUCGCGGCUUAUCAGCUUGUUGGUGGGGUAGUGGCUUACCAAGGCUUUGACGGGUAGCCGGCCUGAGAGGGUGACCGGCCACAUUGGGACUGAGAUACGGCCCAGACUCCUACGGGAGGCAGCAGUGGGGAAUAUUGCACAAUGGGCGGAAGCCUGAUGCAGCAACGCCGCGUACGGGAUGACGGCCUUCGGGUUGUAAACCGCUUUCGCCUGUGACGAAGCGUGAGUGACGGUAAUGGGUAAAGAAGCACCGGCUAACUACGUG